UAGACACCUGCACCGCGAGGGAAAAAGGCGCACGAAAGUGGCAGGAAGACGAAGACAAAACGUGGGUACGGCGAGGACGUCCUUUACGCCGCUGCUCUGCUCUCUACAGUAAACAGAGAAGGGAGACUCUCUCUUCAAACGCUAGCUCGAUAGGUGCCAUCUAGCAAAGACACCAUCUGUCACAACUUCCUCCCACGUUCCUCCCACAUUUCCGGUUCACGCGCGUCAAAAUUACAUAUUUUGACACGCGAUAAAUUCGCAUUGGACACGCGUCGAUGUGCGAAUUUGCACGCGUCGAGUUAGGGGCGUCUGGCGCAUUUUGAUCACGUCUAUCGCGUUCAGUGUGAACACACCGUAAAAUACCACAGCUCUAAGGUGGAGGCUGAUUAGAAGCAGAUGGCAGAGCGAUCAAGUGCAGGUGAGGCCACAGCUGUGCGGAGGAGCUUCCGGGUGGAAGGCCAUCCGAGCCACGCCCUCCCCGGAAGCGCGAACUUCCGUAAACAAACCGCGCGGCUGGGAGAGAGGAGAAACAGGGAGAGAAUACACACAAAGUGAGCUACGGUUGUAUGGAGGGCUAUGGCAUCCUGACCUGUUCUUCCUGUGAACUGAGGAUCGAAUGUGUGAGUUCUGACCAGUUUCUCGAGACACUUCGAGAUGACUGGAGUAAGACCCACUGGCUCUGCGAGGCGCUAGAAAACUAAAUGAAAUGUUUAUUAAGGGAGAAAUGUUUCAGGAACCUGGGUUGAUAGUUUAUCUGAAGCAACAUCACAUCAGAAACACUCCCACCUCUGACCCAACUACCCAACCACAGCAGAGCGCUACUCUGGCAGGUCCAGCGUCAGCACCUGUAAACCGUCAGUGUUGAUUGGUCCGGGUCCAACAAACUGGUGGUUGGUAACCAGCAACAGCACUUCAAUGACGGGCACAAGAAGCUCUCUGGACGCUCCCUGUUGCUCUCCCAGAUCUCUUACCCCUCCAUGCCUCGCCUGCUCCCGCAAAGAAUGACUUUGAGAAUUUUCUGCCUCCUAAUUCCUCGCUAGCCACAUCUCUCGGUUCCUGCACUGGUCUAGCUGUCUGGCUGUGACAUGAAGCGCUCAUGAUUCCCAGUAAAAGACUUCUACAAGAAAUAUGUGUUCAGUCUGUGUGCAUGUCUGUGUGUUUAAAGUCUGCAUAAAGAUGAUACAGGUUCAUCCACAGUGUUGGGUCCAUGUUCAUGUGCAUUAUUCAAAUCUAGUGGAGAGCGACAAAGAACAAAAACUUUGGACAUGGAGAAAACAUGCAGAAAAUAAAAUAUUAACAUCGUUAAACUCCUAAUGCAGAG